AAUAAUGUAGUAUAUUAGUAUAUUUGAUUUCCAAUCAAAUGGUAAAAAAUUUAUUUUUU
rnacentral:tRNA from 1 species